rnacentral:rRNA from 1 species
CACAUUGGAACUGAGACACGGUCCAAACUCUACGGGAGGCAGCAGUGAGGAAUAUUGGUCAAUGGACGAGAGUCUGAACCAGCCAAGUAGCGUGCAGGAUGACGGCCCUAUGGGUUGUAAACUGCUUUUAUAAGGGAAUAAAGUGAGUCUCGUGAGACUUUUUGCAUGUACCUUAUGAAUAAGGACCGGCUAAUUCCGUGCCAGCAGCCGCGGUAAUACGGAAGGUCCGGGCGUUAUCCGGAUUUAUUGGGUUUAAAGGGAGCGUAGGCCGGAGAUUAAGCGUGUUGUGAAAUGUAGACGCUCAACGUCUGCACUGCAGCGCGAACUGGUUUCCUUGAGUACGCACAAAGUGGGCGGAAUUCGUGGUGUAGCGGUGAAAUGCUUAGAUAUCACGAAGAACUCCGAUUGCGAAGGCAGCUCACUGGAGCGCAACUGACGCUGAAGCUCGAAAGUGCGGGUAUCGAACAGGAUUAGAUACCCUGGUAGUCCGCACGGUAAACGAUGGAUGCCCGCUGUUGGUCUGAAUAGGUCAGCGGCCAAGCGAAAGCAUUAAGCAUCCCACCUGGGGAGUACGCCGGCAACGGUGCAACUCAAAUGAAUUGACGGA